rnacentral:rRNA from 1 species
CCCUUAGAUGUCCUGGGCCGCACGCGCGCUACACUGAGUGUCUGAGAUACGAGUCUGCCUGGUCCGGCAAGGUCUGGGUAAUCGCUAAAAGACACAUCAUGCUUGGGAUAGAUUAUUGCAAAUAUUAAUCUUGAACGAGGAAUUCCUAGUAAGCGCAAGUCAACAGCUUGCGUUUAUUACGUCCCUGCCCUUUGUACACACCGCCCGUCGCUACUACUGAUUGGAUGUUUAAGCGAGGUUCUCGAACUGCUAGCGACUUAGCUUCGGUGAGGUCGCAGUGUGGGAAGUGAACCUAGCUUUGGUGUCUAGAGGAAGUAAAAGUCGUAACA